CUCGCCGUGCAGCCGCGGGUCGCUGAGGGGUUUCCAGGCGCGCGACAGAAGGUGCAGCCCUGGCUGCUAUCUGCUGCUGGCCCCGGGGAUGGCUUCUCCGAGUCUGGACAGGUGGCUGGACUCGACGCAGCUGCUGGGUUCGGGGUGGCCUCCUGGCCUCGGCCUCUGCGAGCCUCCCAGGGUUCCCCUGGGCCGGCUGGUUCCACUCAGAGGGCGACAAGCCGGGGACCGGCGCGUCAGGCUCUCGGAACAGACUGUACACCUUGGCUGCAGCCGCUGCGGGGUGGCUGCCCACGGGGUGCCACAACCGAUUCGCAUCCCUGCUAGCUGGUUCGUAUCUCCCUAUGGAAUCCCGUUGGGCAUGACUUGUCCCCAUCAAGACAGCCAGGACAAGUGGCAGGAAGCCCCUCCAACGCACCCGUCGGAUGCAUCCGGAGCAGCGAGCGGUGGUCGGCGCUCUCAUGGCGCCAGAGUGGCUGCAGAGCUGUGGGCACCGGAGACCUCGCGGGGAGGUGCUUUCCAUCGUUCGCUCCACAGACCCGCCUGGCGACUUGCCCCUUCCCGUCUAGGGGACCUCUGAAACAGCCGUUUGGGGGUCCAGGGGUUCCUAGGUAAGGGCUGUAUGGCGUGAGCUGCCCGGGCUGCGCACCGAGCCCGAGCCUGCCGCACCUUCGCUCCCGCACUGCCGCCGUCUGAAGGGGAACCGAAGGGUUUUAUUUUUGGAAACCGCCCCCUGCUUUUUCGCCUCUUUUAUCCACGCCAUGCCCCCCUCCUUGGAGGGACAGCUCGGCCCCCUUAUUACGGGAGACAAGAAUUCCAGCAACACCCUCUUUGGCACCGAGAAGCGAGCGGGCGGCGAGGGGAUUAACCCGUGAGGAGCUGCGGGCGACAGGGCAGACCCGGGGACUGGAAAGACAGAUGGCGUCUGCCUGGACCAGCGCACCUGAGCUGCCUUUUUCCUGUCCUGGGCAAACUCAAGUUGUCCACCUGUCCUGGAUGUAUUUUCUGUUCCUGACCUCACGGACCCAGAUGAACUGCUUCUCGGGCCUGAAGGAAGCUGGGGAAGGUACCCAGACCGGAGUAAUGGGGACCGAGCCCGAGGCAUGCGCGCCUGGUCUCGUUGCUUCCACCUCUGACCGCUGGGGGCGCUAGGCGAGAAUGCAGGUGUCCCUGGGGCAGCUCCCAAGAGCCGGUUGCCUAUGGGGAAGGGCAACUUGGGGCGCGCGCCCCCUGGUGGAGCUGGUCACACCCUUGGCCACCGUGUUUUGUAGCGACACACUCUGCCAACCUGCUUAGAGCCUAGAUCUUAAUCUGCUUCCUGUGGCGCCAAGCCUUGACCUGGGCCUAUGGUGAUGGUGGAUGCCCGCUGGAAGAGUUGUUCUCUUUUUACAAAGGUAGGCAUGGAGCCUCUUGAAUAAGGUGACUAAAGGAGAGUAUUGCUAAAGAUGGAAAUAAAACCCAGGCUAGUGGCCUCUGGCCCACAGUCCACUCUUUGAACUCCUACCACCGCCCCUCAUUCCUUGGAGAAUUUCCCCAAGGGGCUGCAUGAGCCUUUGAGCCCUGCUGGGCCGGGUUCUCACACCUUCUUGUAUUGAAGGGGACAGGGAUGUCCGUUGCCUCCCACCUAAAUUAACCUUCUUCCCUGUGUCCCAUGCCCCAAAGCCUAAAAGGCUAGGCAUAUAUGGUUUUCCUGAAAGUGUUUUCACAGCCUACUGGCUCCUAAGCAGACAGGAUAAAAGAGCCUGUAAAGGCACCAAUUACAACUUCCCAUACCAGCCCCUCCCUUCCCAGAAUCCUAAGUAAUACCUAACUGGAUUAGAAAGUCUCAAUAUUUGACACUGGCCUACGGAGUCCUCCCUGCCCGGCUGGUUUUCUGACCGAUCUGAACUUACUCCUGCUCGGUAUUCAUUACACAGUACCCUCACAGUCUCUGCUUGGCAAAUGUUUGAUGCAUUGUGACGGCUCAUCUCUCUACCUAGAGUAUUCAUCUCCAAGAGGUCUUCAGGACUACCUCUUCAUUUCACCUCACAGAGCAAACAUCGGCCCCUACAGUGGCCAUGUGUGUUCUUCCGCUUCCCAUUCCUGUGAGGAAAUACCCAAGCUUGCCCACUUACAAGGGGAAAUCAUUUCCUGGGGCUUUGUUGUUGUCUUGGGUUGGUUUGGUUUUUGUUGUUAUUCUUUGGUUUUGGUUUUUCUCAAGACAGAGUUUCUCUGUUUAGCUCUGGCUGUCUCCUUUGUAAGACAGGAUGGCCUUCAGCUCAGAGAUUUGUCUGUCCCCUGAGUACUGGGAUUAAAGGCAUACGGUGCCACCUCCCAGUUCUUCCCUCCUCUUUUAAAACAUAUUUUAAAAAAUUAUUUUCAGCU
rnacentral:lncRNA from 1 species